AAGUCGUAACAAGGUUUCCGUAGGUGAACCUGCGGAAGGAUCAUUACCGAGUUAGGGUCUGCCAGGCCCGACCUCCAACCCUUUGUCUACUCUACCAUGUUGCUUUGGCGGGCCCGCCUUUAGGGGCCGCCGGGGGCUUUACCGCCUCUGGCUCGUGCUCGCCAGUAGCCUUGUUAAAUUCUUUUUAAUUGUGUUGUCUGAGUACAAAUAUAAAUCGUUUUAAAAACUUUCAACAACGGAUCUCUUGGUUCUG
rnacentral:misc_RNA from 1 species